CUACCUACGGGAGGCAGCAGUGAGGAAUAUUGGUCAAUGGGCGCGAGCCUGAACCAGCCAAGUCGCGUGAGGGAAGACGGUCCUAUGGAUUGUAAACCUCUUUUGUCGGGGAGCAAAAGACGCCACGCGUGGCGUUCCGAGAGUACCCGAAGAAAAAGCAUCGGCUAACUCCGUGCCAGCAGCCGCGGUAAUACGGAGGAUGCGAGCGUUAUCCGGAUUUAUUGGGUUUAAAGGGUGCGUAGGCGGAACAUUAAGUCAGCGGUAAAAUCGAGGGGCUCAACCCCUUUAAGCCGUUGAAACUGGUG
rnacentral:rRNA from 1 species